GAGCGUGAAACCGUUGGGAGGGAAGCUCGGGGUACCGAGGCGGUCCGGCCCUUCGGGGUUCAUUCGGCGUCGCGGGCUCCGUCGCUCGUCGAGGGACGACGACGUUGUCUUCGAGCCGGUGCACUCCCCGUCGGGUCUCGGUGACCGUCAGCGAGGGGACGGUCCGCUUCUGUCGGUGUCCGUCGAGGUGGUGUCGGUCGUCGUCUCGGCGGCGGCCGAUCGUAAGCUCUUCGGGUGCCCGAGCGUGGCUCUUCCCCUGGUGAGUGUUGGCGGCUGUUGUCGCCUCCGGUGGUAGUAGGUGCGGGGCUCCCUCGUGGGGCCGCGGGCCGGCGUCUGUCCUUCGGUCUCGGUUCGGGAAGGUGUCUCCUCGUCGCGUGCUCCCAGUGGGCUCGCUUCGUGGCUGGGCCUCUCUUCCGCGGCAGUCGGUCGGCGYUCGGUCGCGUCUGCCGCGCCUAGGUCGCUGACGUUGAUUCGGUCCCCCGUGCCCCGUCUUGAAACACGGACCAAGGAGUGCAAGAGGCGCGCCAGUCUCGAGGGCCCGGCGACUCUGUCGUCGAUCCGUUGCAAGCCCGACGAGAGGCGUAGCGAAAGCAAGUGUCGGCCUAGAGUCGACGGGCGCGAGAGCCGGCUCGUCUCCGGACGUGCCGGCGCAUCGCGGACCGAUCCGCGGUCACGCAGUGGCCGGUUUCGAGUGAGAGCGUGUCUGUUGCGACCCGAAAGAUG
rnacentral:rRNA from 1 species